rnacentral:rRNA from 1 species
AUACGAAGGGGGCUAGCGUUGUUCGGAAUUACUGAGCGUAAAGCGCGCGUAGGCGGACUGAUCAGUUGGGGGUGAAAUCCCAGGGCUUAACCCUGGAACUGCCUCCAAUACUGUCAGUCUCGAGUUCGGGAGAGGUGAGUGGAAUUCCUAGUGUAGAGGUGAAAUUCGUAGAUAUUAGGAAGAACACCAGUGGCGAAGGCGGCUCACUGGCCCGAUACUGACGCUGAGGCGCGAAAGCGUGGGGAGCAAACAGGAUUAGAUACCCUAGUAGUCC